UACGAAGGGGGCUAGCGUUGCUCGGAAUCACUGGGCGUAAAGGGUGCGUAGGCGGGUCUUUAAGUCAGGGGUGAAAUCCUGGAGCUCAACUCCAGAACUGCCUUUGAUACUGAGGAUCUUGAGUCCGGGAGAGGUGAGUGGAACUGCGAGUGUAGAGGUGAAAUUCGUAGAUAUUGGGAAGAACACCGGUGGCGAAGGCGGCGCUCUGGACCGAGACUGACGCUGAGGCGCGAAAGCGUGGGGAGCAAACA
rnacentral:rRNA from 1 species